AUGCCAAAAGCAGUUGCCAAAGUCCUCACAAAUAGAGUUAAACCUCUCAUCCCACUGCUCAUUCAUUAUGAUCAGACGGGCUUCCUUCAUGGAUGUAACAUUGCUGAAAAUUUCAUCUAUGCUGCUGAUAUCCUUAGUGCGUGCCACUCACGUAAAGCCCCGACCAUGGUCUUCAAGCUCGACUUCAGGAAAGCCUUUGACUCCAUAUGCUGGUCCUCCCUCAUUCAAAUCCUACAAGCCCGCAGUUUUCCUACCAUUUUCUGUUCAUGGGUCAAAAACAUCCUUCUCACUGGGAAAACAUCUAUUCUUUUAAAUGGCGUUCCAGGGUCCUGGAUUCAAUGUAGAUGUGGCCUCCGCCAAGGUGACCCCUUCUCGCCAUACUUGUUCAUUAUCGUUGCUGACGUACUUCAAAGAUUAAUCGCCAACGCUUUCCAAACCAACGUUCUUUGCCACCCGUUAUGA
rnacentral:rRNA from 1 species